rnacentral:rRNA from 1 species
AUUGAACGCUGGCGGCAGGCCUAACACAUGCAAGUCGAGCGGAUGAAGGGAGCUUGCUCCUGGAUUCAGCGGCGGACGGGUGAGUAAUGCCUAGGAAUCUGCCUGGUAGUGGGGGAUAACGUCCGGAAACGGGCGCUAAUACCGCAUACGUCCUGAGGGAGAAAGUGGGGGAUCUUCGGACCUCACGCUAUCAGAUGAGCCUAGGUCGGAUUAGCUAGUUGGUGGGGUAAAGGCCUACCAAGGCGACGAUCCGUAACUGGUCUGAGAGGAUGAUCAGUCACACUGGAACUGAGACACGGUCCAGACUCCUACGGGAGGCAGCAGUAGGGAAUCUUGGGCAAUGGGCGAAAGCCUGACGCAGCCACGCCGCGUGAGUGAAGAAGGUCUUCGGAUUGUAAAACUCUUUUAUUAGGGAAGAAGAGAAGUGAAAGUAACUCUUGAUGUUUUGACGGUACCAAAAGAGUAAGCAACGGCUAACUUCGUG